rnacentral:rRNA from 1 species
AUUGAACGCUGGCGGAAUGCUUUACACAUGCAAGUCGAACGGCAGCACGGGGGCAAUCAUGGUGGCGAGUGGCGAACGGGGGAGUAAUACAUCGGAACGUGCCCAGUCGUGGGGGAUAACGUAGCGAAAGUUACGCUAAUACCGCAUACGAUCUACGGAUGAAAGCGGGGGACCGUAAGGCCCUGCGCGUUUGGAGCGGCCGAUGUCAGAUUAGGUAGUUGGUGAGGUAAAGGCUCACCAAGCCGACGAUCUGUAGCUGGUCUGAGAGGACGACCAGCCACACUGGGACUGAGACACGGCCCAGACUCCUACGGGAGGCAGCAGUGGGGAAUUUUGGACAAUGGGCGCAAGCCUGAUCCAGCCAUUCCGCGUGCAGGACGAAGGCCUUCGGGUUGUAAACUGCUUUUGUACGGAACGAAAAGGCUCUGGUUAAUACCUGGGGCUGAUGACGGUACCGUAAGAAUAAGCACCGGCUAACUACGUGCCAGCAGCCGCAGUAA